rnacentral:rRNA from 1 species
UACGUAGGGUGCAAGCGUUGUCCGGAAUACUGGGCGUAAAGCGUGCGCAGGCGGUUCUAUAAGACAGAUGUGAAAUCCCCGGGCUCAACCUGGGAACUGGCAUUUGUGACUGUAGAGCUGGAGUACGGCAGAGGGGGAUGGAAUUCCGGCGUGUAGCAGUGAAAUGCGUAGAUAUGCGGAGGAACACCGAUGGCGAAGGCAAUCCC